GUUUUUGCUGGUUACGGUGCAUUUAGGCCUCUCUGACAGUCCCGACAAUGUGUGAUUCACUCAACGAUUGUUUUCAACGGAGCUUAUGAGCGCAUCGAUCCACUCAGAAUUUUGAUACUUGCCCCGUAUAUCAGCGAGCCUUAUGUGGCCAUAUAGCUAAGUCUGUGCUUGACACACGAACGAGAAGGACUAAGCAUGAAAAUAAAAGUCAACCUAGUCUGUUGUUCAAGUACCGAUAAUUAAUCGCAGUUCCCCGCGGGAAAUACCUAGCUAGAAACUUUAGCUAGAGCAUUUAUCCACCUGCGAUACUUGCGCACUGCUAAGGCCACAGUGUCAAACUGCAUCAGCCGGCAAACGCUUACAUCUGGCAUUGUGAAAAUGCUUCGCAUCUCAUUAUCACUUACUAUCACCCUCUCGCGUCCUAACUCGUUUGAACAUGCACGCAUUGGACUUCGGACGCAGAGACAGGCUGCGCGGCAUCAAGGGCCAACAUAUACAUUAGGUUAUUCUUGUAUCCGUCACGUAGUACUCUAAAUUCACCCACACGUUCGGAGAAGUUUUGCGUAUCCAUAAUAGAGGGAUCGACUUCGGCAAUGGCGGAAACCGCCAACAAUCGUUCUGCAGUACAGCUGGUGAAAUAUUAACUUUAGCACCCUUAGAUAAGAUACUUGCUAGCUAGGAUCAAACGCGAGAAAGAAAUUGCAAGAACAAACGUACGAAGCGUCUUAUCAAAAGAGUGUGUCGCUGUUUCGUUUACGGUCGUUGUUACACAUAGAUGGGGUACGAAUAAACAAUGACGUAAACUUAUAUAGACACCCGGAUAUUUCGGCUAGUGGCACACAGGGAGCUGGCUUUUUGAAACUGGUUACGAAGUUUUCCUCUGACAAAUACCCCUUUGUGCAGGUUAUAGUGCACCGUGUAACAAAAAAAAAAAAACACAGGAGGAGAAAACGUUACGUAGUGCUAUUUCAAAUCGCAAAGUAACUGUGAGACGACGUAUCAUACUGUUGCUAUCCAUUUUGUCAGACAUAUAAACGUACGUAGAAAAGACUUUUUCAUAUUUUGUAUUUCUCGGCACAACGAAUCCCUAAAGAUAACAAGCCGUCAAGAUCACUCAAGGUUUAACCAACUGUUCUGAUAACAUUGCUUGUAGAG